ensembl:lncRNA
AUACAGGAAGUCCUGGUGUACUGGAGGUGUGGAUACAGGAGGUCCUGGUGUACUGGAGGUGUGGAUACAGGAGGUCCUGGUGUACUGGAGGUGUGAAUACAGGAAGUCCUGGUGUACUGGAGGUGUGGAUAUAGGAAGUCCUGGUGUACUGGAGGUGUGGAUAUAGGAAGUCCUGGUGUACCGGAGGUGUGGAUAUAGGAAGUCCUGCUGUACUGGAGGCGUGGUAUCCAGGAACUGCUGGUGCACUGGAGGUGUGGAUAUAGGAAGUCCUGGUGUACUGGAGGUGUGGAUAUAGGAAGUCCUGGUGUACUGGAGGUGUGGAUAUAGGAAGUCCUGGUGUACUGGAGGUGUGGAUAUAGGAAGUCCUGGUGUACUGGAGGUGUG